rnacentral:rRNA from 1 species
AACGAACGCUGGCGGCGUGCCUAACACAUGCAAGUCGAACGAGAAAGGGGCUUCGGCCCUGAGUAAAGUGGCGCACGGGUGAGUAACACGUAGGUAACCUACCUCUAAGUUUAGGACAACCUGUCGAAAGAUGAGCUAAUACUGAAUGAGACCACAGUUUCUUCGGAAGCAGAGGUCAAAGGUAGCCUCUAUUUAUAAGCUAUCACUUAGAGAUGGGCCUGCGUACCAUUAGCAGUUGGUGAGGUAACGGCUCACCAAGGCAAAGAUGGUUAGCUGGUCUGAGAGGAUGAUCAGCCACACUGGAACUGAGACACGGUCCAGACUCCUACGGAGGCAGCAGUGGGAAUAUUGCGCAA